AUUGAACGCUGGCGGCAGGCCUAACACAUGCAAGUCGGACGGUAGCACAGAGGAGCUUGCUCCUCGGGUGACGAGUGGCGGACGGGUGAGUAAUGUCUGGGGAUCUGCCCGAUAGAGGGGGAUAACCACUGGAAACGGUGGCUAAUACCGCAUAACGUCGCAAGACCAAAGAGGGGGACCUUCGGGCCUCUCACUAUCGGAUGAACCCAGAUGGGAUUAGCUAGUAGGCGGGGUAACGGCCCACCUAGGCGACGAUCCCUAGCUGGUCUGAGAGGAUGACCAGCCACACUGGAACUGUGACACGGUCCAGACUCCAACGGGAGGCAGCAGUGGGGAAUAUUGCACAAUGGGCGCAAGCCUGAUGCAGCCAUGCCGCGUGUAUGAAGAAGGCCUUCGGGUUGUAAAGUACUUUCAGCGGGGAGGAAGGCGAUGUGGUUAAUAACCGCAUUGAUUGACGUUACCCGCAGAAGAAGCACCGGCUAACUCCGUGCCAGCCGCCGCAGUAA
rnacentral:rRNA from 1 species